UACGGAGGGAGCUAGCGUUGUUCGGAAUUACUGGGCGUAAAGCGCGCGUAGGCGGCUUUGUAAGUUAGAGGUGAAAGCCCGGAGCUCAACUCCGGAACUGCCUUUAAGACUGCAUCGCUUGAAUCCAGGAGAGGUGAGUGGAAUUCCGAGUGUAGAGGUGAAAUUCGUAGAUAUUCGGAAGAACACCAGUGGCGAAGGCGGCUCACUGGAGCUGGUAUUGACGCUGAGGUGGCGAAAGCGGUGGGGAGCAAACAGG
rnacentral:rRNA from 1 species